UACGUAGGGUCCGAGCGUUAUCCGGAAUCAUUGGGCGUAAAGAGCUCGUAGGCGGUUCAGCAAGUCGGCUGUGAAAGUCCGGGGCUCAACCCCGGAAUUGCAGUCGAUACUGCUGUGACUCGAGUCCGGUAGAGGAGAAUGGAAUUCCCGGUGUAGCGGUGAAAUGCGCAGAUAUCGGGAGGAACACCAGUAGCGAAGGCGGUUCUCUGGGCCGGCACUGACGCUGAGGAGCGAAAGCGUGGGGAGCAAACAGGAUUAGAAACCCCAGUAGUCC
rnacentral:rRNA from 1 species